rnacentral:rRNA from 1 species
UGGGGAAUCUUGCGCAAUGGCCGAAAGGCUGACGCAGCGACGCCGCGUGUGGGAUGAAGCAUUUCGGUGUGUAAACCACUGUUGCCCGGGACGAACAGCUUCUUUCGAGGAGCCUGACGGUACCGGGUGAGGAAGCACCGGCUAACUCCGUGCCAGCAGCCGCGGUAAUACGGAGGGUGCGAGCGUUGUCCGGAAUCACUGGGCGUAAAGGGCGCGUAGGUGGCCUGUGGAAGUCUGCGGUGAAAGCCCGGCGCUCAACGCCGGGUCGGCCGUGGAUACUCUCGGGCUUGAGCUCACUAGAGGCAGAUGGAAUUCCGGGUGUAGCGGUGGAAUGCGUAGAGAUCCGGAAGAACACCGGUGGCGAAGGCGGUCUGCUGGGGUGAUGCUGACACUGAUGCGCGACAGCGUGGGGAGCAAACAG